rnacentral:lncRNA from 1 species
CCCGUAUUCGGAGAAGGAUUCCAUUAACAUAUACCCAUUACAGAAGUGAGGUCCAGGACAAUUCCAGUAUAUCUUAUGAUUAUCCUUUGUAAUAAAUUCCAUUUUUUUUUGGAACAUGCAUUUAGAAUUAUCUUAUUUUUUUGUAUGAGGAUAAUGUUCCUUGUUUCCCGUACCAACAUAUUAAAUCAGAACAAUUAUUAAUAUGACAAAAAGGAAAACAUAUGGCCAGGAAUAUCUGAC